rnacentral:piRNA from 1 species
UCCGCGUCAUGUUCAAGGAGCCGGUGGA